CCCUUAGAUGUUCUGGGCCGCACGCGCGCUACACUGACGAAUGCAACGAGCUUAUAACCUUGGCCGAAAGGUCUGGGUAAUCUCCAAAUUUCGUCGUGAUGGGGAUAGAUUAUUGCAAUUAUUAAUCUUCGACGAGGAAUGCCUAGUAAGCGCAAGUCAUCAGCUUGCGUUGAUUACGUCCCUGCCCUUUGUACACACCGCCCGUCGCUCCUACCGAUUGAAUGGUCCGGUGAAGCGUUCGGACCGUGGCCUUUGGACGGUUCGCCGUCUGUUGGCUGCGGGAAGUUCGUUAAACCUUAUCAUUUAGAGGAAGGAGAANUCGUANCA
rnacentral:rRNA from 1 species